rnacentral:rRNA from 1 species
CCUACGGGAGACAGCAGUGAGGAAUAUUGGUCAAUGGGCGCGAGCCUGAACCAGCCAAGUAGCGUGAAGGAUGACUGCCCUACGGGUUGUAAACUGCUUUUGUACGAGGGUAAACCCCGAUACGUGUAUCGGGUUGAAAGUAUCGUACGAAUAAGGAUCGACUAACUCCGUGCCAGCAGCCGCGGUAAUACGGAGGAUCCGAGCGUUAUCCGGAUUUAUUGGGUUUAAAGGGUGCGUAGGCGGUUUGAUAAGUUAGAGGUGAAAUGUCGGGGCUCAACCCCGAAACUGCCUCUAAUACUGUUGGACUAGAGAAUAGUUGCGGUAGGCGGAAUGUAUGGUGUAGCGGUGAAAUGCUUAGAGAUCAUACAGAACACCGAUUGCGAAGGCAGCUUACCAAACUAUAUCUGACGUUGAGGCACGAAAGCGUGGGUAGCAAACAGGAUUAGAUACCCUAGUGUC